UACAGAGGUCCCAAGCGUUGUUCGGAUUCACUGGGCGUAAAGGGUGCGUAGGCGGUCGGGCAAGUCCGAUGUGAAAUCUCGGAGCUUAACUCCGAAAUGGCAUUGGAUACUUUCCGACUGGAGGUUGGGAGGGGGGACUGGAAUUCUCGGUGUAGCAGUGAAAUGCGUAGAUAUCGAGAGGAACACCAGUGGCGAAUGCGAGUCCCUGGACCAAUCCUGACGCUGAGGCACGAAAGCCAGGGGAG
rnacentral:rRNA from 1 species